CGUACUACUAUGACUGACCCUGUAAAACAACACAUUUCACUGCACCCAUCCGGUGUAUGUGACAAUAAAAACAUAAUCUUAUGAACAGGGACCUGAUGAAGUGAGGCGUUUGAAUGAGGAGGUAGCAUUAGUCUGAUCAAGUGAGGUAGCAUUAGUCUGAUGAAGUGAGGUAGCAUUAGUCUGAGGAAGUGAGGUAGCAUUAGUCUGAUGAAGUGAGAUGUUUGAAUGAGGAGGUAGCAUUAGUCUGAUGAAGUGAGGUAGCAUUAGUCUGAUGAAGUGAGGUAGCAUUAGUCUGAUGAAGUGAGGUAGCAUUAGUCUGAUGAAGUGAGGUAGCAUUAGUCUGAUGAAGUGAGGUAGCAUUAGUCUGAUGAAGUGAGGUAGCAUUAGUCUGAUGAAGUGAGACAUUUGAAUGAGGAGGUAGCAUUAUUCUGAUGAAG